CAGCUUCGCCAUUUCUGUGAUGCGUGGUCAAAUUUAGCUAGUGCAUAUAUGAGGAAAGGAAGACUUAAUGAGCCAGCCUGGUGUUGUCACCAGGCUCUUGCAUUGAACCCUCGCUUGGUGAAUCCCUGUUUUGUUUUAUCAUUUAGUUUCCUUCUUUUGUUGUAGAUGCAUUGAAAUUACUAUUUGCAGAUCUUCCCCUUAUUGGCAGGUUGAUGCUCAUAGCAACCUUGGUAAUCUGAUGAAGGCACAAAGGCUUAGUACAAGAAUUUGUCAGAAAAUGCAUAUGUUCUUGUGGUAGAGAUUUCAGGUACAAUUCCUACAGAAUUAUGGAAUCUCAAGAAUUUGGUUGAGUUGACAUUGCAACGAAACAAUCUGACUGGUCUGAUUCCUCAUGCUUCGAGUAAUUUGAGAAACCUUAAAUUGUUGUUGGUCCGAUUCCUCCUCCAGGUAAGCUUGCAACAGUAAUUUGUUUAUAACUGCAGGUAUUUGUGUGGCUUUUUGGGUUAUUAAUAAAAUUCCAUCAUUCAAAAAAAUGACACAACUCUGUAAAUAUCUAGGAUGAUUAUAGCUGAAAUGAGGAUGUUCAGAUAGAUUAGUGGCAAGAUGAGGAGUUUGUUCCUUGUAGGAUUUUACAGCUGUGUAAAACUUCUAAGUCUCAUGGUGGAUGUGGUUACCAUAUGCUAGUUGUUGUCAUUUAUGCUGCUUUUGAUUCUUGAUUCACUUUGUAGUUAUUCUGCUUUUGAAGAAGUUCUCCCACAUGCUCCAACAUUGAUGACUGAUGUGUUCGGCAAUUAUGUUAUUCAAAAGUUUUUGGAGCAUGGAAGCCCUGCGCAGAGAAAAGAACUAGCAAAUCAGCUUGCUGGCCGCAUUCAACCUUUGAGCCUUCAGAUGUAUGGGUGCCGGGUAAUUCAAAAAGGCCCUACACAAUUCAAUCUGGCUAAUCCACGCUUACACAUGUUGCCCUUUUUAAUGGACGGUAUCUGCUUGAUUUUAUUAUUAUUAUUAUUAUAGUUGUUGUGGGAUGCAAAUAUGCUCUGCUUGAAUUCAUGAUGGGAGCUGAUUACUUGGGUUUUACCAAUCAAAGGGUAGGUGUUAAUGUAGAUGGACAACAUUCUUAUGAUCUCAGACUAGUUUGAGAUCUGUGACUAAGACUCACUAACACAACAUGGGCACCAUAUACAGACCAAUGUUUCAAAAAUUGAACCAUAGGGGCCAACCCAUUUCAUAAGUAGGAAGAAAAUCAGGUGCAAUAGAAAUGCUUGUUUUGGUUGAUGGCAGGAAGAUGUGAACCUAAUGCAUGAGAAUUAGUUUGAGUUAAGAAACACUUUGUAAGAUGUCUCAUCUAGAGUGCAUCCCGUUUUUAGUUGUGUUUGGACUGAGCGUUGCGGCCCAUGUGUUGGAAAUGUACGUGCUUGUAUUUGUAGAUCUUGUUUAAUUAAUAUUACUUCAAAUCUGUACAUAUACAUGAGUGCAAAGACUUCUAUGAUAUGCUUCAUGCAUUUGUCAAAUCAUUGUAGUUGUCCGAUCAGUGUGAUUUGGGUGCUAUGGUGUAUCCAUGAUUGGGUCCACAGAAUAAUCUGGGUCACCAUGUGCAAUCUGUAUUGCACUUUAUAUUGCUGCCUUGCUGGUUGUAUAAUAGGUAAUUUGCGAUAUGGAUGCAUACUUCUAGCUAACAUGUCUGGAUCUUUUUCUUGGAAGUGUAUCUAAAUGGUGCAUAGGUAGCAGUCGUAAAUAUUUUUUUGUUUAUAGUCUAAAUUUGGUUUUUUGUCUAAUUAGCUAGCAAUCAAAGGCCUCAAAUGUAUUUUUUUAAAUAACUUGUUAGGCAUCAAAUGGUUUUUACUAAAUCUAUUUCAUCACUAUAGCCUUGUCCCAGCUAUUAGGGGCAGCCCGGGCAGGAUUCCAUGAAAAUCUAUUUGUUGAUCAAAUUCCAUUGCUGAAUGCAUUGGGUAGUUUGUUGUUCUCUUAACAUUAGCCCACUUCUGAUUUUUAUUUUUUUCUAUCUGAGAAUGAUUUAGUAUUGCACAUCAGCUCAACAGAUCUA